AAGACACUAGUAAAACUAAGUCUAUUACAUUGCCUUGUCAAGGCAAAAUUGUGGGUUAAAACCCCGCGUGUCUUA
ensembl:Mt_tRNA